CCUGAAUGUGCCCAAUCUCGUCUGAUCUCAGAAGCUAAGCAGGGUCGGGCCUGGUUAGUACUUGGAUGGGA
rnacentral:rRNA from 1 species